GAUCCUGUGACCCCAAGAUCAUGCUUCCCUGAGAAAUCCGGCUGGAGUUCUCCUGCAACAGAUUGAGAAGCUACCAGAAAGGGAGAGUUUGGAGGAGACAACUGCAUCCCUUCAUUAUGCUCAGCUGCAGCUUCCUCCAGGAAAAUCCCUCUCCAUGAGCACUCCAGACAGCACCACCAUUUAUGCAGCAGUUGUCUGAUGCGGCUUCUGUCUCCCACCUAGGCGCAAAGAUCCAGCAAGCAUUUCUCAAUUCACUGAUGAAAUCUUCUGUUCCUGCUUUCAUCACACACACACACCAUGCUUCUCUAGUUGACCUGUCCCUUCAGCUUCUUCAACUGUACUAUCUACAGACAUUGUGAAAUAAUAAGUCCUCAUGUUGUCUCUGUCUGACCUUCAUCUUGCCUUCCUCGAAGGCACCCCUUAAGUCCACAUCCUGAACCACAACUAGGCCUGGGCAUGUUUUAGUAGCAUUAUCCAUAUCCAUCUCUCCUGUGGCUCUUUCUUUUAUUUCUCUCCUCCCUCCCCUUAUGCUAUAACGUGCCAUGAGUACUGAGGAAAAUGUAGACACAAUA